rnacentral:rRNA from 1 species
UACGGAGGGGGCUAGCGUUGUUCGGAAUUACUGGGCGUAAAGCGCACGUAGGCGGCUUUGUAAGUUAGAGGUGAAAGCCCAGGGCUUAACCCUGGAAUUGCCUUUAAGACUGCAUCGCUAGAAUCGUGGAGAGGUGAGUGGAAUUCUGAGUGUAGAGGUGAAAUUCGUAGAUAUUCGGAAGAACACCAGUGGCGAAGGCGACUCACUGGACACGUAUUGACGCUGAGGUGCGAAAGCGUGGGGAGCAAACAGG